AGUCUUCCUCAGGUCCAGUGC
rnacentral:piRNA from 1 species